rnacentral:SRP_RNA from 1 species
GCAAACUAAGGACGCGGUGACCGCGUACGUCUCGGCGUCG